AUAGUUUCUCGGUUUUUUUGCUAAGAUUAAGUGUAAUAUAUAUUCUUAUCUGUUUAAUAUCUGAUAUGUGGAUCACACGAUAUUAAAUUAUUUUUUAUAGGAGGAAGAAAUCACUUAAAAAUUUGCUACUGGGGUUCUCGUGUGUUGCCCAUACAUUGCACUAUUGUAUAAUUGUAUAAGCUGGUGCACCAAAA